UCCAGACUCCUACGGGAGGCAGCAGUGGGGAAUAUUGCACAAUGGGGGAAACCCUGAUGCAGCAACGCCGCGUGAGUGAAGAAGUCAUUCGUGAUGUAAAGCUCUAUCAGCAGGGAAGAAAAUGACGGUACCUGAGUAAGAAGCCCCGGCUAACUACGUGCCAGCAGCCGCGGUAAUACGUAGGGGGCAAGCGUUAUCCGGAUUCACUGGGUGUAAAGGGAGCGUAGACGGCGACGCAAGUCUGGAGUGAAAGCCCGGGGCCCAACCCCGGGACUGCUCUGGAAACUGCGUCGCUGGAGUACGGGAGGGGCAGGCGGAAUUCCUGGUGUAGCGGUGAAAUGCGUAGAUAUCAGGAGGAACACCGGCGGCGAAGGCGGCUUACUGGACUGUAACUGACGUUGAGGCUCGAAAGCGUGGGGAGCAAACAGGAUUAGAUACCCUAGUAAC
rnacentral:rRNA from 1 species